rnacentral:rRNA from 1 species
UACGUAGGGGGCAAGCGUUGUCCGGAAUCAUUGGGCGUAAAGCGCGUGUAGGCGGCCCGGUAAGUCCGCUGUGAAAGUCCAGGGCUCAACCUCGAGACGUCGAUGGAAACCAUCUGGCUAGAGUCCGGAAGAGGAGAGUGGAAUUCCUGGUGUAGCGGUGAAAUGCGCAGAUAUCAGGAGGAACACCGGUGGCGAAGGCGGGUCUCUGGGCCGAUACUGACGCUGAGGAGCGAAAGCGUGGGGAGCGAACAGG